rnacentral:rRNA from 1 species
UACGAAGGUCCCGAGCGUUGUUCGGCAUCACUGGGCGUAAAGGGAGCGUAGGCGGCGUGGUAAGUCAGAUGUGACAUCCCGGGGCUCAACCCCGGCACUGCAUCCGAUACUGCCAUGCUAGAGUGAUGGAGAGGUAGCUGGAAUUCUUGGUGUAGCAGUGAAAUGCGUGGAGAUCAAGAGGAACACUCGUGGCGAAAGCGAGCUACGGGACAGUUACUGACGCUGAGGCGCGAAGGCCAGGGUAGCGAAAGGG